AUUGAACGCUGGCGGCAGGCUUAACACAUGCAAGUCGAGCGGAUGAAGGGAGCUUGCUUCUGGAUUCAGCGGCGGACGGGUGUGUAAUGCCUAGGAAUCUGCCUGGUAGUGGGUGAUAACGUCUGGAAACGGGCGCUAAUACCGCAUACGUCCUGAGGGAGAAAGAGGGGGAUCUUCGGACCGCACGCUAUCAGAUGAGCCUAGGUCGGAUUAGCUAGUUGGUGGGGUAAAGGCCUACCAAGGCGACGAUCCGUAACUGGUCUGAGAGGAUGAUAAGUCACACUGGAACUGGGACACGGUCCAGACUCCUACGAGAGGCAGCAGUGGGGAAUAUUGGACAGUGGGCGGGAGCCUGAUACAGCGAUGCCGCGUGUGUGGAGAAGGUCUUCGGAUUGUAAAGAACUUUAAGUUGGGGGGAAGGGCAGUAAGUUGAUACCUUGCUGUUUUGACGGUACCAAGAGAAUAAGCACCGGCUAACUUCGUG
rnacentral:rRNA from 1 species